GAUGAACGCUGGCGGCGUGCCUAACACAUGCAAGUCGAACGAUGAAACCGCCCUCGGGCGGACAUGAAGUGGCGAACGGGUGAGUAACACGUGACCAACCUGCCCCUUGCUCCGGGACAACCUUGGGAAACCGAGGCUAAUACCGGAUACUCCUCGCCCCCCUCCUGGGGGGCCCGGGAAAGCCCAGACGGCAAGGGAUGGGGUCGCGGCCCAUUAGGUAGUAGGCGGGGUAACGGCCCACCUAGCCCGCGAUGGGUAGCCGGGUUGAGAGACCGACCGGCCACAUUGGGACUGAGAUGCGGCCCAGACUCCUACGGGAGGCAGCAGUGGGGAAUUUUGCGCAAUGGGGGCAACCCUGACGCAGCAACGCCGCGUGCGGGACGACGGCCUCCGGGUUGUAAACCGCUUUCAGCAGGGAAGAAAUUCGACGGUAC
rnacentral:rRNA from 1 species